rnacentral:misc_RNA from 1 species
UCGGAAGGUGCGGCUGGAUCACCUCCUUUCUAAGGAAAAUAAAUCUUCACACUAUUUUAAUUAUAUAUGGACCUGUAGCUCAGCUGGUUAGAGCGCACGCCUGAUAAGCGUGAGGUCGGUGGUUCGAGUCCACCCAGGUCCACCAUAACUUAGCUCAGGCUAAGUUUUUGAACCAUAACAACUUAAAAACUAAUCAAAAUUUCUUAAACAAACAAUUAAACUGGAAAUAAACAGAAAUGUUUAUUAACAAAGGUCAAGUUAAAAAGAGCACUAGGUGAAUGCCUAGGCACCAAGAGGCGACGAAGGACGUGACAAGCUGCGAAAAGCUACGGAGAGGAGCAAAUAUCCAUUGACCCGUAG